UCUCUGACUUUUAUAGAAUUUUAUACACAGCUGCUUCAUAUCCUAGACCUGAACAUAGGCUACUUAGACUUUUAAAAAAUCGAUACUGAGGCCUCUAGAGCAGUGGGAAACCAACAAUAGAUUAUUCCUAUUCAUUUGCAUUAAUCAGCUGUUUUAUAAUCUGUAGGGUCUUC